rnacentral:rRNA from 1 species
AUUGCCUCAGUAACGGCGAGUGAAGCGGCAACAGCUCAAAUUUGAAAUCUGGCCGCAAGGUCCGAGUUGUAAUUUGUAGAGGAUGCUUUUGGCGAGGUGCCUUCCGAGUUCCCUGGAACGGGACGCCAUAGAGGGUGAGAGCCCCGUACGGUAGGACCACCAAGCCUCUGUAAAGCUCCUUCGACGAGUCGAGUAGUUUGGGAAUGCUGCUCUAAAUGGGAGGUGUACGUCUUCUAAAGCUAAAUACCGGCCAGAGACCGAUAGCGCACAAGUAGAGUGAUCGAAAGAUGAAAAGCACUUUGAAAAGAGGGUUAAAAAGUACGUGAAAUUGUUGAAAGGGAAGCAUUCAUGACCAGACUUGGGCUUGGUUGAACAUCCGGCGUUCUCGCCGGUGCACUCUGCCAGUCCAGGCCAGCAUCAGUUUGCCCCGGGGGAUAAAGGCGGCGGGAAUGUGGCUCCCUUCGGGGAGUGUUAUAGCCCGUCGUGUAAUGCCCUGGGGCGGACUGAGGAACGCGCUUCGGCACGGAUGCUGGCGUAAUGGUCAUCAAUGACCCGUCUUGAAACACGGACCAAGGAGUCGUCUUCGUAUGCGAGUGUUCGGGUGUCAAACCCCUACGCGUAAUGAAAGUGAACGUAGGUGAGAGCUUCGGCGCAUCACCGACCGAUCCUGAUGUUCUCGGAUGGAUUUGAGUAAGAGCAUACGGGGCCGGACCCGAAAGAAGGUGAACUAUGCCUGUAUAGGGUGAAGCCAGAGGAAACUCUGGUGGAGGCUCGCAGCGGUUCUGACGUGCAAAUCGAUCGUCAAAUAUGGCAUGGGGCGAAAGACUAAUCGAACCUUCUAGUAGCU